GGCGGCGUGCUUAACACAUGCAAGUCGAACGAUGAACCACUUCGGUGGGGAUUAGUGGCGAACGGGUGAGUAACACGUGGGCAAUCUGCCCUUCACUCUGGGACAAGCCCUGGAAACGGGGUCUAAUACCGGAUAUCACUCUCGCGGGCAUCUGUGAGGGUUGAAAGCUCCGGCGGUGAAGGAUGAGCCCGCGGCCUAUCAGCUUGUUGGUGAGGUAACGGCUCACCAAGGCGACGACGGGUAGCCGGCCUGAGAGGGCGACCGGCCACACUGGGACUGAGACACGGCCCAGACUCCUACGGGAGGCAGCAGUGGGGAAUAUUGCACAAUGGGCGAAAGCCUGAUGCAGCGACGCCGCGUGAGGGAUGACGGCCUUCGGGUUGUAAACCUCUUUCAGCAGGGAAGAAGCGCAAGUGACGGUACCUGCAGAAGAAGCGCCGGCUAACUACGUGCCAGCAGCCGCGGUAAUACGUAGGGCGCAAGCGUUGUCCGGAAUUAUUGGGCGUAAAGAGCUCGUAGGCGGCUUGUCACGUCGGGUGUGAAAGCCCGGGGCUUAACCCCGGGUCUGCAUUCGAUACGGGCUAGCUAGAGUGUGGUAGGGGAGAUCGGAAUUCCUGGUGUAGCGGUGAAAUGCGCAGAUAUCAGGAGGAACACCGGUGGCGAAGGCGGAUCUCUGGGCCAUUACUGACGCUGAGGAGCGAAAGCGUGGGGAGCGAACAGGAUUAGAUACCCUGGUAGUCCACGCCGUAAACGGUGGGAACUAGGUGUUGGCGACAUUCCACGUCGUCGGUGCCGCAGCUAACGCAUUAAGUUCCCCGCCUGGGGAGUACGGCCGC
rnacentral:rRNA from 1 species